CAUUGAUGCAGCACCACUUCCUGUAAUGCAUGACAGCUUUAGUAGGUAGAGACAAACUACUUGAGUGCUAUCAAGUCACAACUUGGGUUAUUUUAUACUGCAUAAAAGCUCUCGGACAAGAAAUCCCCAUUUAACUUUCUCUUUUUGAAGAGAACAUUUUCUCCUUGAACCUCAGCAACCAGUAAUUAUUUCUCAGAACAUCUGCAGGACAACAAUACUCAGACAGUCAAGCAAUCAACAUAACUAUCCAUCAGACCUUCAGAGAAUCCAAAACUGCUAUUUUAAAUUUUCAGACACCAUGACGAAUCUUCACAAUUUUGAAGUUCCUCAGAAACUUCUCGUCCUGCUGACCAAAGCUACAGGUGUUUUUGUUUUCCUGGCUGUCUUCAUUCUGGAGUACAUAUUGAACUUGAACUUUCCGUGCUUCUGUAAGCCUGCUUGGGAGAGCCCACUACAUAUAGGCUAUCAUGGCAUAAUCUACAUGCUGUGUCCACCCAUGAUAAUAACUUGUGGUAUCAUGCUAGUUGAUAAGAUGUACCAGAAGACGUUUUGCCGCAAGAUAUGCAAUGACUGCCCCUGCAAUUGCUUCUGUUCAUCUACCAAACUUGGGAUCACAUUUCUGUCUGUAGGACUCUACUGGAUAGCUGCUGUUUUGAUAGAUGGAGAAUGGUAUGUGUGCUAUCAGACCAACAACCAUCCAAAACAAGUUGGACUUCCCUGUAGAACAAACCUGACCUAUGACGAGAGACUUGUCAUCACUGACUACAAGACUGACUCAGUUGUCAUUGGCUUGCUUCUGGUUACAGGGGGCCUUGUUUUCUGGCAUUUGUGUGAAUGCUUCUUCACCUGUCGCAAAAGAACAAACAACAGUUGCCAUCUUGAUCAACCAUAUUAUGAAAGGUUGUAUGAAGAAAUUCUUUCAGAGGAGGUAAACAAUCAUUUGAAGAAUGAACUGCAGGAAAUUGCGAAAGAGAGGGCCGAGAGGAUCUGUCUUCGGCCCCUUCAGUUCAUCCGGAGAGGGGAUCCUGGGAAUUCAUGGCAAGAUAUUUCAGACUCUGAUUUCUUUUUGUCAAAUGAAUAUCAGGAGUCACUGUUCACAGAACAGUCUGAUCUUAUUCAACACGUUCCUGAAGACUUAGCCCAGUGACCAUUAUGAUAUUAAAAAGAUGUAGAAAAUAUGUAUUUUCUGGAUGUUGAAAUUAUGUACAUUUUCGGUUCUGAAUGAAAGUUGAAAAUACAUGUUUUCCAGACAUUAAAAAUGCAUAUUUCAUGGCUGUUGACAAUAUGUCUUUUACAUAAAGUAUGUGAAAUCAAGUUCAUUUUCAAUUUCUAAAUAAAAGCUGAAAGGACGUCUUCUACAGACGUUGAAAAUA